CCCGCUACUUCAGUUAACUGAGGAGUAGCCAGUUUCUGUUCUGCUUGCUUGCUUUUUUACAACUCGGUGUGAAAGAGUUCAACACGCUGACAGCAGCUGCCUCUGUUCAACUCUCCCGUGUUGAUCCAGCCCGCCUUUUCAGAAGCUUUGCCUUCACACAGUCUGUCCGCCCGCUCUGUGGUGUCGAGCGCGGUCCUAAAUUCAGCCGGCUGAAAACCUCCAAACAGCCUACCCAGACUGCUCUAGGGCGUCCGCAUGGUCCUAAAGCACACCGAUGCCGUUUUUGGUAUCACGGUGCAAUGAUAAAACUGUGUGGGGGGGGGACAACAAUUACCCCCCCCCCCCCCAUCAUCCCCAGUGAAAGUUGUGCCCCUGGUGAGCAGUUUGGGUUGACGUAACAGUGGAGAGUUGGUUGUUAGCAGUUUGUACUGACUUAGUUGCUGACUGUGUUUUCCCCUGCUGACUGUGUUCUCCAACCCUGCUCACCGAGAACUGAGCACUUUGUUGAUGGCGUGUUUCCCAGAAUGCAUUAGUCUUCCAGUCUGACGGGACAAGCGAGAGUUGUUGUUCCCUGCUGCUAGAGAAUGAAUGUUCUGCACCGUCAUGGAAACACACAUCCAAACUUAGAGACUGACGAUGUAGAGGAAGGAGUGUGUGUAAUGCUGACCUCUGUCCUCUGUAGAACCUGUGGUUCCGGGUCAGGAGAACGCUGCAGAGCCACAAGCCACGCUGGUGUAGAGAACAUGAAGACUGGAACCUCUACCUGUUCUCCCCUCAGAACUCGUGAGUCACACAAAUACACACACACACAUGUACACGUACACGCACACACACAUACUUGUUGUCUCACCUUCUCAACUGUAUCACCAUCGCUCUGGAGAGGCCCGGCAUUCUGCCUCACAGCACCGUAAGACACUAGGGCUGGUGUUAUACCCUAUUUUACUAUAUACCAGUAUUGAUGCAUUUAACUUUACCUUCUAGAACCCUAUUUAUACUUUACCUUCUAGAACCCUAGUUAUACUUUACCUUCUAGAACCCUAUUUAUACUUUACCUUCUAGAACCCUAUUUAUACUUUACCUUCUAGAACCCUAUUUAUACUUUACCUUCUAGAACCCUAUUUUUACUUUACCUUCUAGAACCCUAUUUAUACUUUACCUUCUAGAACCCUAUUUUACUUUACCUUCUAGAACCCUAUUUUUACUUUACCUUCUAGAACCCUAUUUUUACUUUACCUUCUAGAACCCUGUUUUUGACUUUACCUUCUAGAACCCUAUUUAUACUUUACCUUCUAGAACCCUAUUUCAAUGUGGUUGGUUAGGCUUCAUUAUUAAUGCCAUUUCAGACUUGAAGUCGAUACAACAACUAUGAU
rnacentral:lncRNA from 1 species